GUGCCAGCCGCUGCGGUAAUACGUAGGGGGCGAGCGUUGUCCGGAAUUAUUGGGCGUAAAGGGCGCGUAGGCGGGUAUUUAAGUCCGGUGUGAAAGAUCAGGGCUCAACCCUGAGAGUGCAUCGGAAACUGGGUGCCUUGAGGACAGGAGAGGAAAACGGAAUUCCACGUGUAGCGGUGAAAUGCGUAGAUAUGUGGAGGAACACCGAGUGGCGAAGGCGACGUUUCUGGACUGUAACUGACGCUGAGCGCGAAAGCGUGGGAGCAAACAGGA
rnacentral:rRNA from 1 species